rnacentral:lncRNA from 1 species
GGGGCCUGCAGGGGGCCUGUGACACCUAGGGGAGGGGAAUGGAUAAGGAGGGUAGGAGGGCCAACAGGAGGCACUGAGAUACCAGGGGGAGGGGUGGAAUGAGGAGGGGAGAGCCCUGCAGGGGGGCGGGGAGACCUGAGGUGAGGGUAAUGGAUAAGGAGGGGAGGAGGGUCUGCAGGGGUUCUUGGGAGACCUGGGGGAUGAAUAGGAGAGGACAAGGGGAGGAGGGUCUGCAGGGGGCCCUGGGAGCCCUGCGGGGGGCGAGGGGUGGGGGAAUGGAUAAGGAGGGGAGGAGGGCCUGCAAGGGGUGCUGGGAGACUUGGGGGAGGGGAAUGGAUAAGGAGGGGAGGAGGGCCUGCAAGGGGUGCUGGGAGACCUGGGGGAGGGGAAUGGAUAAGGAGAGGAGGAGGGCCCGCAGGAGGCACUGAGAGACUGGGGGGAGGGGUGGAAUGAGGAGGGGAGGAGAGCCCUGCAGGGGGCACUGAGAUACUGGGGGGAGGGGUGGAAUGAGGAGGGGAGGAGAGCCCUGUAGGGGGCGCUGGGAGACCUUGGGGGGAAUGGAUAAGGAGGGGAAGAGGGCCCUCAGGGGGCGCUGGGAGACCUGGGGGGGAAAUGGAUAAGGAGGGGAGGAUGGCCGCAAGGGGCACUGGGAGACGCUGGCGGGGAAUGGAUAAGGAGUGGAGGGGGGCCUGCAAGGGGCGCUGGGAGACCUGGAGGGGAAAGGAUAAGGAGGGAGGAGGGCCUGGAGAGGGCGCUGGGAGACUUGGGCGGGGGUGGAGGGAAUGGAUAAGGAGGGGAGAAGGGCCUGCAGGGGGCACUGAGACCUGGUGGGGAAUGGAUAAGGAGGGAGGAGGGCCUGCAGGGGGCGCUGGGGAACCUGGGGGGCUUGGAUAAGAAGGGGAGGAGGGCCUGCAGGGGGCGCUGGGAGACCUAGGCGGGGCAGGGGUGGGGAAUGGGUAAGGAGGGAAGAAGGGCCUUGCAGGGGGCGCUGGGAGACCUGGGGUCGGGGGGAGGAUAAGGAGGGGCAAUGGGAGAGGAUGGGGAAUGGGGUGCUUAGAGACUUGGGUGGGAAAUGGACGCAGCAGGGACUGGGCGGGGAGAGACCUUACAAGGGUUCCAGGAGAUGGGUUGGGGUGGGCUGGACAGGGCAGAGUGGAGGGUGAGGAGGGCCCUCUGUGAGCCACAGAGACCUGAGCAGGAGCUAGGUGGGGGCUGGGAAUGUGCAGGAAAGGAGACGUGGAAGGAGGGGGAGAUAGGGCGGCAGGGGUGAUGGAGAUUGACAGGGACCCCAGACAUGGGGGUAGGGAAAUGGGGAUGGAAAUAAAUGGAAAAAAAGAGGCUUCGUGGUGGGAAAGAGGAGGAACUCCGAGGGCUCCGGGGCACUGAGGUGUGCAGAGUUGCCGGGUCCUGAGUACCCUCGAGGGAGCAGAGGGAGCUCGAGGAACGAGGAAGAGAGGGGACGACGAGGGCAAAGAAGGGAGAACGUAGGCGGGUGUGGAGGAGGAUGAGCGUCCGAGGGAGAAGACGGAGGAGUUGAGCAGAGAAAGGGCAGGAAUGUGGGGGCUGGAAAGGGUGAGGAGGCAGCCGAUGGAGCAGGGGUGCAUCGGAGUUCAUGGGUACUUCCCAGGAGCUCAUUUAAGGCAGGUGGGAGGGCGGGGGACGUGGAGGGGCGGCCACACUGUGAACGGACUGAAGCCCACUUAACUGUUCACUCUAAAGUGGUUCAGUUCGUUACGUGUGUUUUCACUUCAAUCAAUUGCUUUUAAUGGAAAUUAAUCAUAUUGAUGGUCUCCAGAAGAAGUUGGGUUGAUACCUGCAACCAGAUUUUAAAAAUGCAAAUUUGGAGCCAAUGAGUGAAUGAAAUAAUUUGUACCUCACUGAUUCUUUUAAGGCAUAGCUUACAACGUUCCAGAAACUGUUCUAUUUGUUUUCACUUUUGUUUCAAAAUCUUAAUGGCAUUUUGUUUGCUGAUUGUGAAUAAAUAUUUGUAUGCUGCGAAAAGCAAAUCCAAAACCAACAGCUCAAAGGAGAAAGUGUGGCAAACAGGAGAUUGGAGAUUGGACCCCAAAACUCCUGGAGUGACGAAAAUUGACCUGGAUGAAGAAAUGGCUUUCUCUUGGCCUUCUUUUGUUUAAACAUAUCUUCCAGUCCUGGGGAUGGAUUUCCCUCCCAUCCAUAGCCAGAGAACUUUCUGUAUCCAUCAAAGUGCUUUCUAUGUUUGCCCGCUCUCCACAGCUCCCUCUUUGUCAUUCGCGAAUAGUAUAUAAUCAAAUAUUGUUUUCAUUUUCAAUAAUAUAAAAGAUAGAACUAAAUUCAGCUUUGAAAGACACCCAUGUACCAGUGGGUACUGGUACACUUGCCAGUGACUUUCUUCGCUCCCUAGUUUCUGCGUGGUGUCUGGGGUUUCCGUCACAGUAUAUGUACUAUACAAAGAAAAUAAAUAUUUGAAGGUCACUGGGAAAGUAGUAUGCUAUAAUGACUUACUUUAAAUCAUUUAAAUGAGUUUUUCUGCUUGAGUAAUCAGCACCUAUUUAGUGCCUCCUUGAGUAAUUUUGCGUGAUGGCUGUGACAUGCUGCUAGGAAGUUUUUCAGAGUUUGUAUUAUAGAAUCAUGUUUAGAAAAUUUCAAAUACCAAUUUAAAAGGCAUGUUUUAAAAGGAGAUAUAAAGCCAGUGGGAGGAGGGAUAGAGAAAGGGGAAACUGAGUUAAAUUUGAAGGGGACAAAGGGGCUUAAAAAGAGAAAUAGAUGGAAAGGGAGGGAUGAGGAGGAGGAGAGAGGGCCAAGCAGGCAGGGGAGGCAGGCCUGCAGUUGCUAAACUUUGCUCCUUCCCCGCGUUCUUGGAUAAUAUUUGUGGGGAGGCACUCCAAGCCAGACCUGCUGGAUUUCCUGCUCGUAGGCCUGUGCAGCCCAGGAAACUGUUCAGAAAAGUAGGAGGUAGGAUCCUAUUUGUACCCUGAGUGUGUGGAGCAGUUUCUACCAGGUAAACCUUCCAUCCCUGUUUUUUAGGGGAUCAAGAUAGACUGCAAGGCAAGAUGCUUGCAUUUAGUCUCAGAUGAAAAGAACAGUGGACUCCCGGGCCCUCAUCCUCCUUGUCAAGUCUCAAUUCCUCAGAUGGGCUUCAGUUCUCUCUUUAACUAAUGCUGUGCACCUGUCCAGCCUUUUCAUCUACAGAGUUCUGUCUCUGCUCCAUCCAGACCCAUCUCCUCCUUAUCCCCAGGGGCUGUGCUAGAAGUGGAUGUAAGGGGCAGAGUGUGUCUUGUUGCUUGCAUCCAAAACCUGCUGAGACCCAGGCCCUCCUCGUAGCAAAUGCCAUUCGGUCUCUUACAGAUGCCCAGGUGUGGUGACGGGCCAGCCAUGGGUUCCCCCAGUGCCUGCUGUGGAGCUUGGUCACUUGCAUCCUCCGGGUGGUAUUGCUUCGUGGUGGGUCCACACUAUGAGCUUAUCAGGCAAUGUGCUCAAAGGAAAGGAAGGCCUUGCGAAGUAUGUGGCACAGGUAGGGGCUAUACGCAUAUUACUGUGUCCCCCCAAAUUCAUAUGUUGAAGUCCCAACCCCCAGUACCUGGGGGUACAAAAUGUCACGAUAUUUAGAGGUAGGACCUUUAAAGAGGUAAUUCAGUUUGAACAAAGGCCACGGGGGGCAGUAGGGGUGGGGGAGAACUAAGCCACCUGACUGUGUUAGGGCCUCCAAAGAAGUGAUUAUUAAAAUGAUGGCGAGAGGAUGGGGUCCCAAGCCUACCUGGCUGAGGUCCUUAUAAGAAGAGAAGACACCAGAGAAGGACACACACAGAGGAAAGGCUGCGUGAGAGCAGCAAGAAGAUGGUUUUGUGUGAGCCAAGAAGGGGGCCUCGGGAGAACCAAACUUGCCAACACCUUGCUCUUGUACUUCCAGCCUCCAGAACUAUGAGAAAUAAAUGUCUGUUUUCUUAGCCACUCAGUCUGUGGUGUUUUGUUACGGCAGCUCUAGCACACCAGUGCAGGUACACACCAGGAGAGGCUCACACCAGUGCAAGCUCACACCAUUGCAGGCUCAUAUCAGUGCAGGCACACACCAGGACAGGCUCAAACCAAUGCAGGCACACACCAAUGCAGGCUCACACCAAUGCAGGCUUACACCAGUGCAGGCACACACCAGUGCAGGCUCACACCAAUGCAGGCUCACACCAUGCAAAUGGGACCGAGUGUGGGAGGCUGUGCUACUGCAUGGUUGCUGAAAGCAAAUGUUGGAAAACAUAUUCCACUUAGCCCUUUGGGCUAAGAAUUAUCCCCAGCACAUGUGCUUGACUGGGUGGGCAUGGGGACAGAUGAGCUCUAGAGCAUUAUUUGGAACUGGCAUAGAUUCAGAUAGAGAUGGACAAAUCAGAAAUGUAAAAAUAUUUUGAAAAAAAUUCUAUGAGGCAGCAAUGGACGAGACAGGCCAUUGAGUGCUGUCAUUGUCUUUAAAAAAUACUAUGUUCACUGCUUUCAAAGUAAGUGUCAUGAGGUUUAUUACUUAGUGGUUCUCUGGCUCCCCUAAGUUGACUGUAAAAUCUUUAUGAGGCACUUGGUAAGCACAUAAGUAUUUGAAGUACCCAAGGGAUAAAAGAGCUCGGUAGUGAAAUGGUGAGUGAAGGCUGGAAUUGCCCUAAAGUCUGGGUAGGAAGGGGGCCUCCAGCUGAGUAUGCCAAGCAAGUAACAUGAAUUAUCUCUCAAAUCUUCUAGAAAGCCCUAUGAGGGGGCAGUAUCAUAAUACCCUUUUCACAGAGAAAGAAAUGGAAAGGUUAAGAAACUUGCUCAAGGCCAGGCACGGUGGUUCACACCUGCAAUCCCAGUGCUUUGGGAGGCUGAGGCCAGAGGAUCACUCGAGGACAGGAGUUUGAGACCAGCCUGGGCAACAUAGUGAGACUCAGUUUCUACAAAAACAAAAAAACCAAAAAAUUAAAAAAUAAAAACUUGCUGAAGUGGUGGAAACAGUGAUUCAGGGAUCUUUGUCUUAAAUACUUUGUAAUGUGUUAUUUAUUAUGCUUCUUGUUAAUUUCUACAUGGGAAAUUAUAUAUAUGUUUAUGUUUUUAAAUAUAUAUUAUAUAUACUUAUAUAUUAAAUACGUAUUUCUACAUAUGUUUCCCAUAUAUGUGCUAUGUAAUAUAUAUGGUAAGAAAGCUCAACAUGGGUAAGGAUCUUUGUGAGUUUUGUUAACUGUUGUAUCCAAAGUGCCUGGGACAGGACCCUUGACAACAAUUUGUGGAAUAACUGAGUGUUGGAGUCCAUUGGCCUUCGACCACUCUUUUUUACAGCCCCUCUGGCAUACAUGAAGGGUGAAUCUGAGUUUUAUAUCCCACAGCCUUACACAAAUAAAUGUCAUGAUUGCGUUUUCUCUUGUUGUUCUGCAGUGGUAUUUACCUGGACAGUUUAAUGAUGUCUCUGACCUCUUCAUUUUAAGAAACCUUUCAAGAACUUUUUACUUCAUUCAACAGUUGUCUAUUCAUGCCAUAGGUAUUUAUAAUGAACUGUGAUAUCUAUAUUGUGGAGAAACGGGGUGCUCAGAAAGCUUUUCUUUUUCUUUUUCUUUUCUUUUCUUUUUUUUUUUUAUUCUGAGAUGGAGUCUCACUCUGUCACCUAGGCUGGAGUGCAG